GAUGAACGCUGGCGGCGUGCCUAAUACAUGCAAGUCGAGCGAACAGACGAUGAGCUUGCUCCUCUGACGUUAGCGGCGGACGGGUGAGUAACACGUGGAUAACCUACCUAUAAGACUGGGAUAACUUCGGGAAACCGGCGCUAAUACCGGAUAAGAUAUUGAACCGCAGGGGUGAAUGGUGAAAGACGGCUUUGCUGGAUCGUAUCGCGGGUUCCGGGCCGCUUUGGCUAGUUGGUAAGGUAACGGCUUACCAAGGCGACGAGGCGUAGCCGACGUGAGGGGGUGGUCGGCGACCCUGGAACUGAGACGCGGUCCAUACUCCUACGGUAGGCAGCAGUCGGGAAUCUUCCGCAAUGGGCGAAAGCCUGACGGAGCAACGCCGCGUGAGUGGUGAAGGUCUUCGGAUCGUAAAACCCUGUUAUUAGUGAAGAACAAAUGUGUAAGUAACUAUGCCCGUCUUGACGGUACCUAGUCAGAAAGCCCCGGCUAACUACGUG
rnacentral:rRNA from 1 species